rfam:Picea glauca, whole genome shotgun sequence.
AUGUAUAUUCCUACAAUGUUAAUGCACCAGAUCCCAACUCUAUAGUUAAGCGAGAUUAGGCUAGAGUAGUACUGGGAUGGGUGACCUCCUGGGAAGUCCUAGUGUUUUACAUG